rnacentral:rRNA from 1 species
CUUAGCAAGGCCCUGGGUCCGAAGGCGGCAGGCCUCUCCACUUACGAGGAGUGCAUGGCAAUUCUGCAGGCCGUUGACCAAUGGCGUCACUAUCUGCAGAUGGCUGAAUUCGUGACCAAAACAGACCAAAAAAGUUUAGUGCACCUCGAAGAGCAACGCUUGUCAACGGUCUGGCAACACAAGGCAUUCACCAAGUUGCUCGGCCUGCAAUACCGGAUCUGCUACAAGAAAGGAGAGGAUAACAAGGUGGCUGACGCCCUUUCUCGCCGCCACCAUGAUCGCCAAGAGGAUGUUCUAGCUAUCACAGAAUGCAAGCCCGCAUGGUCGACAGAGGUACAACAAGGGUACGCAGAGGAUGCCCAAUGCCAGAAACUUCUCGCCAGCUUGGCCACGGCACCACAACAAGGGGCCUUCACCCUGCAACAAGGGCUGCUGCGCUACAAAGGGAAACUGUGGCUGGGGCAGAACCGUGCGCUGCAGACCAAGGUCACCUCAGCCCUGCACGACGCAGCGGCAGGGGGGCAUUCAGGUUUUCCAGUCACCCUGGCGCGAGUCAAGCAACACUUCGCCUAG